GUUUUGAGGAAAUUAUUUAUAAAAUUAGAAAAUAGGAGUGUAUUGCUACAACUUUAAGCAGAGACGCUUGUAAGUAAAGGCAGAUGUUACCGCUAUAUCAUUAGCGAAUACAAAAGGUAUCUCAGGUACAUGGCUGGCUUCCUUCUCAGCAGAUUUUACUCUAUAUAUUACAGAAUUUGAUACAAAAAUUUCAACCAAUCUGACCUGGACAUGAGACAAGCAGCAAGUAGGCUUCUUUGCACUUCUAUUAUCCCAAUAGAUUAAAACGAAAGUGAUGAAGAAAUUUACAUCCGCAAAUUGUACUAAGCAUGGUGGGGCAUACAAUUAGAAUUGCUCCAAGACCAGCUUGCGCAUGAAUGCCUCUGGAGCUAAGCCACCAGUGAGCAGCCUGAAUUGACCAAGGGCCUGCCUGAUAAACAUCUCAACCCCGCUCACCACAAUUGUACCAGCCUCUUUAGCCUCUUGCAAGAGCCUUGUAUUUCUAGGCGUGUAAACGGCAUCAAAUACCAACUCAUAUGCUUUUAAGGCCUCCUAAAGACAAGAAAUGUGAAGGAUUUAUAGAUCAGUAUAAAUUCUCUGUUACACAGUUCUAUAGAGUGAGACACAGAGACAGAGAGAACUUUUGAAAUAGGGGAUUGGUCUGAAUUAGGUUCCAUUCCAACUGCAGAAGCAUUUGCAAGAAUCAUCCCAUUUUCUGUAGGGAAUCUGUCCAGAUUUUCGUAUGGUAGUGCUUUUCCUGACACUGCAUUUGCAAGAGCCUUUGCUCUCUCUUUACAAAACAUAGCAACAUAGUUGGACAUAGAAGUAUAUGUUAAUCGUAUUGUUUGAAGAGAAAAAUUUAAGCAUUGCUUACCAUAAUUACGGUUGAAAAUAAUGACCCGAGUCCCUCUCUUUUGGCACCAAAAACAAGGGCUCUUCCCGCUCCUCCUGCCCCAACCAACACAAAAGUUUUCCCAGCUAGAGGUGAAGCAUCUGAUGCUCCUCUGUUGGCAGCCUGUCUUUCUCUUAGUGCAUCCUCUAUUGCAUUAAUAGAAGCCUCACAAUCUGUAUUAUAGCCAACUAGCUUCCCAUCAGUAGGUCUCCUUACUAUAGUAUUUACUGCUCCUAUGGACUGGAUGACAAACAAUGCCACAGCUUAGAAGCUUAUGUGUAAAACUAUCAAUAUAACCAACCAAGAACUUCAAGAGGGCCAGUGCCAUUAAUCUAACUUGUCUUCAUUGAUUAUUAAAUACAAUAUCAGAUCUCUUCUGUUACUGAGAUUUAUGGAAUUCUGGUAAUCAUCAUAAAUUGCUGCUAAACAAUAUUAUUGACCUCUUGCACUGCCUCAUUAGUUAGCAGAAUUCCUGACCUUGGCCAGUGGAUGGACUUCAUCGCAGCAGCCAACCGCUGCUUCCUUGUGUGGGAUUCCAACACUAGAUCCAUCAAGAAAAGAGAAAUUCCAUUUACUAUAGAAAAAAAAAGGUCAAUAAUACAAUGUUGGAAUGUAAAAAAAUGGAUCCAUAUAGCCAACAAUAUGCAUAAUUGAGUUGAGUCGAGUAUGGUAUACUGCAGUUCAUAAAUUGAAUUUGAAUAUGAGCAUACUGGGGAGGUAUGUAAACCUCAAUGGCUGCAUACCUAAAACCGGCGAAGUCAGUGCUUGUAAAGGUUCUAAAGAAUUCUUUGAUAUCGUCCACUUGCAUGGGAACGUAAAUUCCAUUAUAUCCUGUGUGUCUAAAGGCAGGGUUAUGCAGAAUAGGACCUUUACUGUGGCCAACUGGAUUUGAAAUUAGACCAAAAACUUUUGUUUCUGCAUUUAUAUAUUCAAGCUUAUAAACAUGCCUAAGACUGAACAGAGUUGGCAUGCCUGGAAUUGUCUUGUCUCCCAAAGAUCCGUACACCAGAAACCCACCAAAUUUUGGACCCAACAGCUGGCUUAUAAGCCCUCUACUGCCCACUGCAAGAGCAAUCAAUGGCACCUGGCAAUAAGCAAGCAUCUUAAAAACAGAAGCCAAAUCUGUGAUAUAAUCCACAUUGAUCACUAGCUUAACCACAUCUGCUCCUGUGGACUGCAAACAAGCAAUCAGAUUACCAAGUUUCUCCAUGGAAGGUUUCCCACCAUUCACAUAGCUGGAAACAAUUAACUUGCUAUUGGUUCUGUUGUAUACAUAUUCAGCCAUAUUGACAUCAGAAGCCACCUCAUAGUCCAUUUCGACAAAUUCAACAUUUAGGUCGAUAGCCAUUCUCAUUACUUGCAGACAAGUGUUGAUGUCGCUGUCCCCACUGCUCGAGUUCUUCCGUGAAUACAGCCUGAAAGAAACAAUAGCAGGGAGAGUUCUUAGUUGAAUGAGUUUGUGGACCUGAGAAAUGUGAGAGAAUGUCAUGGAAUCGAUGCGAAGUUCAACAAGGUCUGCACCUUCUGCUCUUGCUUUCUCCAUGGAAGAUAGCAUUUCCCCUGCCGUUUCACAUUCCAGUGGAGUGCACACCAGCACGUUGUUCUGGAAGUGGAAUGCCAUUAAACUUAAAAGAGAGAGGGAGAUAAGAAAAGGCAGCAGAGAAAGGAAGAAGAUUUGAUGAUGAGGGACAGAUUCUUUUAGUUCUGAGUUCUAGCUUGUUCAGUGCUCCCACUGGACACCUGAGCUUCUUUAUAGACCCAACCAAUGGUCCAUUCUUAGAUAGAAUGAGUUCUAG
rnacentral:misc_RNA from 1 species